CAGACGGGAAGCUAUAUUGCAAUAUACAUUAUUCUUCAUGCGAUGUUUUUCUCUUAAAUAUCAACACAUUUUUAUUUCUAAACUCAUACUGUAGUGGUCGCUGAUGAAUCCUAAACUCAUCCUAAUCUGCUUCACUUCAAUGGCGGUGUGCCACAAUUAGAUUACAAGCCUAUAAUAUGAUUUCAUAUAAAUGAGAAGUUUAUUGUACUAGCGUCUUGAAUUGCUUUUGACAUUAAAGAUGUUUCUAGAAUCACAAAUGUCGCAAUCAUUAAAAUUAGUGUUCCCUUUUCUCUUUCAUGUAUUUCCCUUCUUUUUUUCAUUUUUAUUAUCUCUAGGGUGUGGUUGUUUUAGUCCAUGAUGCAAACUCCAUGAACUAUGAUGAUGCCAUCUUUUCUAAAUUUAUUGGACACACUUUUAUCAGCUGUUGCAGCAUGUUCACUUGGGCUUCCUUUGACAAUGACCACGGUAAAAUCUCUUAUAGUUUAUAAAGAUAGGGUACAAUCACGAUUGAGCUUUGGAGUAGGGGCAGAAACACCAAAUUCUUAGUUAAUUCGGACAGUGAGCUCAUCGAAACAGGGAGAAGCUCCUCAGUCCUCUCUCCGUGGUGGUGCCCGGCCCCUCAGUCCUCUUGCAUCAUUUGGGAUGGACCCGCCCGCCCCCUCAGAUGAUGCUCACGCCGGAGAAGGUCCUGCUUCGUCAACUAAAAGAAUCCGGUUGGAGCUAGUGGAUAAAAUGCCUGACAAUCCAAAAGUGCUUGUAUUCGAGAGCACA